AACGAACGCUGGCGGCAUGCCUAACACAUGCAAGUCGAACGAGACCUUCGGGUCUUGUGGCGCACGGGUGCGUAACGCGUGGGAACCUGCCCUUAGGUUCGGAAUAACUCCCCGAAAGGGGUGCUAAUACCGGAUAAUGUCUUCGGACCAAAGAUUUAUCGCCUUUGGAUGGGCCCGCGUUGGAUUAGCUAGUUGGUAGGGUAAAAGCCUACCAAGGCGUCGAUCCAUAGAUGGUCUGAGAGGAUGAUCAGCCACACUGGGACUGAGACACGGCCCAGAAUCCUACGGGAGGCAGCAGUGGGGAAUAUUGGAAAAUGGGCGAAAGCCUGAUCCAGCAAUGCCGGGUGAGUGAUGAAGGCCUUAGGGUUGUAAAGCUCUUUUACCCGGGAUGAUAAUGACAGUACCGGGAGAAUAAGCUCCGGCUAACUCCGUG
rnacentral:rRNA from 1 species